UACGUAGGGUGCAGGCGUUAAUCGGAAUUACUGGGCGUAAAGCGUGCGCAGGCGGCUCCUUAAGUCAGAUGUGAAAUCCCCGGGCUCAACCUGGGAAUUGCAUCUGUGACUGCAUAGCUAGAGUACGGUAGAGGGGGAUGGAAUUCCGCGUGUAGCAGUGAAAUGCGUAGAUAUGCGGAGGAACACCGAUGGCGAAGGCAAUCCCCUGGACCUGUACUGACGCUCAUGCACGAAAGCGUGGGGAGCAAACAGG
rnacentral:rRNA from 1 species